rnacentral:lncRNA from 1 species
UGGAUAUAUUGAUACCAUCAAAUUUCAUCUUGGGACAUGAAGAAAUGACUUUGGGGAAAACAUUUUUACCAGAAAGAUGGUGUGGUUUCAGAACAGGUGAGCAUGAAGGAAAGCAUAAAGGAAGCAGGGGGGUUGGAGUUGAUGAUCUCCACAGGUCCCUCUCAAACCCUACAGUUCUGUGAUUCGGUGAAAUUAACUCAGGGACAAUCCUGAAAGGAAUUUGUGCCUCAUGCAGUGCUACCUGUGAUGGAAGAGAAAAGCUAGUCCAGGCACUAUGCUCAAAGGAGCUUGCCAUGAGUGCGCCCGGAGGGGCCUCCAUGCAGCUGCAGGGUUGCCGGGUUGGGGCACGGUGACAUUGUGAUGACAUUAUGAUGCAACAGUGCGUGAGCGUGACAUGAAGCUGCAGGCUGAGGCUCCGGCUGGGGUGGCCUCAGUUCGCUGCAGCUCUAGCGAGAGGUGGCAGCGGAGGGUCGCAGCUCCCGGCGAGUUCCUGUAAGGAGCCAUGGAGCGCUGUGGCACUGCUGGAUUCCGAAAUCCAAACGCACUGCUGAGCAUAGCGGGGAAGAGCGGAGAGGUGAGUGCUGCUUCCUCAAGAGAGGGCUGAGUGCAGCAGCCUGGGCUAUGUGGGACUGCUCUGGGGCUGGAGAUGCUCUCCAGAGGCUGAGGGGCAUCUUCUCAUGCCGGCGCUGGGGAAGGCUUGCAGGGAAUCGCGCCUCUCUGCACAUCCCGGCAUCGGGUUAAGAAGUGGGAAGGGAGCUGCCAAAGGGAGCAGAGGUGGGCUGGAGAGGGGACUGGAGUGCCUGAGUGUCCAAGCAUGUCUUUGUCUUUGUCUUUCUAGCUCCGACCCGGAGGACGGAAAAUUGGAGCAGGAGGUAGCGGGCUGCUGGACCUCCCACUCGGGGUCAAAAUCCCUGUGCAGCCUGGCACCAAGCCUGUCUUCUGCAGGACAAAGCUGGGGGAAAAGCUUCACCAGCCUUCUCCUCAUUUUGAUCUGGGAGAUCCGUACUGUCGCCAUCUGCGCACAGAAUACAACAGCCUGCAUGACCCACA